CAGAGACACAGGGAGCAGCUGGAGGAGGAGCUGCAGGAGCUCAGGUAUGCGUCAGUGUCUCUCCACCAGCAGCUCAGUCAGCAGCAGAAGCAACUCUCUCAGUCGGAGGUGGACCGAUGUCAGCUGAACACACAUGUCGUCACUCUGCAGCAGGCUAAACAAACGCUCCAGGGGGAGAUCGAGUGUCUGAAAGGAGAGCUGGAGAGGGCCACCGCCGGGAGAGAAGAAGAGAAAGAGCAGAGAAAAAGGUGCACGGAGGAGAAAGAGGCGCUGAUGGAGGAGGUGGAGAGGCGA